rnacentral:misc_RNA from 1 species
GAUGAAGAACGCAGCGAAAUGCGAUAAGUAAUGUGAAUUGCAGAAUUCAGUGAAUCAUCGAAUCUUUGAACGCACAUUGCGCCCGCCAGUAUUCUGGCGGGCAUGCCUGUUCGAGCGUCAUUUCAACCAUCAAGCCCCCGGCUUGUGUUGGGGACCUGCGGCUGCCGCAGGCCCUGAAAUGCAGUGGCGGGCUCGCUGUCACUCCGAGCGUAGUAGUUACAUCUCGCUCUGGGCGUGCUGCGGGUUCCGGCCGUUAAAAGCCUUAUUUACCCAAGGUUGACCUCGGAUCAGGUAGGAAGACCCGCUGAACUUAAGCAUAUCAAUAAGCGGAGA